GACGAACGCUGGCGGCGUGCCUAAUACAUGCAAGUAGAACGCUGAAGAGAGGAGCUUACUCUUCUUGGAUGAGUUGCGAACGGGUGAGUAACGCGUAGGUAACCUGCCUUGUAGCGGGGGAUAACUAUUGGAAACGAUAGCUAAUACCGCAUAACAAUGGAUGACACAUGUCAUUUAUUUGAAAGGGGCAAUUGCUCCACUACAAGAUGGACCUGCGUUGUAUUAGCUAGUAGGUGAGGUAACGGCUCACCUAGGCGACGAUACAUAGCCGACCUGAGAGGGUGAUCGGCCACACUGGGACUGAGACACGGCCCAGACUCCUACGGGAGGCAGCAGUAGGGAAUCUUCGGCAAUGGGGGCAACCCUGACCGAGCAACGCCGCGUGAGUGAAGAAGGUUUUCGGAUCGUAAAGCUCUGUUGUAAGUCAAGAACGAGUGUGAGAGUGGAAAGUUCACACUGUGACG
rnacentral:rRNA from 1 species